rnacentral:ncRNA from 1 species
AAGCUCAAAUUUGAUUUGGUUAUAAAGAAAUAACUUCUAAUUUUUUUAUACAAUAACUAAAAGAAUAUCAGUAGAAAAUUUAUUUUAUUUAAUAAUAAAUAAUUAUUAAGAAUUAGAAAAGAGCAACCUAGCUAAAUUUGUGCCAGCAGCAGCGGUUAAACAAAUAGGGAUUUUCUUUUAUUAAUGAAAUUUAAAAAAAUAUAGUAUUGUUUUUAAGAAUUAAGGUGAAAUUUAUUCUUAAAAUUAGAUUUGAUAUAAUUAAAAUUCUUAUAAUAAACUAGGAUUAGAUACCCUAUUAUUUAAGAGCUUAACAUUGUAAGUAUAUAAUAAUUAUGAAAGCAAAAAAUUAUGGCGGUAUUUUAAGCUUUUCAGAGGAAUUUGCUCUUUAAUGGAUAAAACACCUAAAUCUUACUUAAAUUUGUCAAAACAAUUUGUAUACCACUAUUAAAAUAAUUAUUAACUUUAAUUAUUAAGAUUUACAAUAAAUACAAAAAAUUAAGUCAAGGUGCAGUAUAAGUUUAAGAAUGAAGUGAAUUACAUUUCUUUUAAGAGAAUAAAAAAUUAAAAAUAAAUUAGGAUUUGAAAGUAAAAUUAAAAUAGAAUGUUAAUUUGAAUUAAGCUCUAAAAUAUGUACAUAUCGCCCGUCACUCUUAAUUAAGAUAAGUCGUAACAAAGUUAGAGUACUGGAAAGUGUUCU